GGAGAUAAGUAUGGUAAUCAAAAAGAGAAAAGUACUAAUAGUGAGACUUGUGUAAAAUUCGAAAAUGUUAAUCCACGAACAAAUAGAAGAACAUCCUACCCAUCUCGUUUGACACCAUCUUUAGCUUCA
rnacentral:rRNA from 13 species